CGCAAAUUGAUUAAUUAUUCAUUCAGUGACGACGAGAAGCACUUGGUGUAGACCGGGCUGUGACGAGAUGCGCCGAGUUCAGAUUCAUGCAAUAGUUAUGUAAAUGAAAUGACAUGGCUAGAAUAAAUAUGAAGCAUUGGAGGACCUUCAGUUAAAAGAUUAAAAUGCUGCUUGAAUGCGAUCCACAAGUGGUGAGCCUCCUAAUUAAUCACGGCGCCAACGUCAAUCAUCGCGACACUAAUGGAUUAAGUUGCUUGGCAGCGGCUGUGUUUGGUGAAAACCACCAAAUUUUGAAAUUGCUUUGCGAGGGAGGUGCAGACGUGCAUGGGCCGGCCGAUUGCUGGAAUAAUUCUGCUUUGGAAUUGGCAUCAGAGGUAAUUAUAUCAAUUUUGGCGCCCGUUGAGAAGAAAAUUUCUUGUCCACCUGUUGUUAAUGUGCGAGUUGAUUCGCUAGACGACGAGGAUGAAAUUGUCAACCAAAAUUAUACAACGGAAAUAAUUG